rnacentral:rRNA from 1 species
GACGAACGCUGGCGGCGUGCUUAACACAUGCAAGUCGAACGGAAAGGCCCUGCUUUUGUGGGGUGCUCGAGUGGCGAACGGGUGAGUAACACGUGAGUAACCUGCCCUUGACUUUGGGAUAACUUCAGGAAACUGGGGCUAAUACCGGAUAGGAGCUCCUGCUGCAUGGUGGGGGUUGGAAAGUUUCGGCGGUUGGGGAUGGACUCGCGGCUUAUCAGCUUGUUGGUGGGGUAGUGGCUUACCAAGGCUUUGACGGGUAGCCGGCCUGAGAGGGUGACCGGCCACAUUGGGACUGAGAUACGGCACAGACUCCUACGGGAGGCAGCAGGGGGGAAUAUUGCACAAUGGGCGGAAGCCUGAUGCAGAAACGCCGCGUGCGGGAUGACGGCCUUCGGGUUGUAAACCGCUUUCGCAUGUGACGAAGCGUGAGUGACGGUAAUGGGUAAAGAAGCACCGGCUAACUACGUG